GCGUCCAUUUCCGAUUCGAAGAAACUGAACGUGCCGUGGCCUUCGCUCUUGGCGCGCGACAGCGCCAUGUCGGCAUUCUUGAGCAGUUUCUCGGCAUCGUCGCCGUCGCCCGGCGCAAUCGCAAUGCCGAUGCUGGCGCCGCUGACAAUGGUAUGGCCGUCGAACAGAUAGGGCUCGCUGAUGGCGUCGAUCAGGCGCCGGGCCAGAAACGCGACAUCCUCGGGCCGCGACGCACCGGCCUGCACGAUGGCGAAUUCGUCGGAGCCGAGGCGCGCGAUCGCGUCUUCCUCGCGCAGGGAGGAGCGCAGUCGCUUGGUCACACCCUUGAGCAGCUUGUCGCCGAUGGCAUGGCCCAGCGUGUCGUUGAUGGCUUUGAAGUUGUCGAGGUCGAGAAACAGCACCGCGACCUUGUCGCCGCUGCGGCGG
rnacentral:misc_RNA from 1 species